rnacentral:rRNA from 1 species
GACGAACGCUGGCGGCGUGCUUAACACAUGCAAGUCGAACGGAAAGGCCCUGCUUUUGUGGGGUGCUCGAGUGGCGAACGGGUGAGUAACACGUGAGUAACCUGCCCUUGACUUUGGGAUAACUUCAGGAAACUGGGGCUAAUACCGGAUAGGAGCUCCUGCUGCAUGGUGGGGGUUGGAAAGUUUCGGCGGUUGGGGAUGGACUCGCGGCUUAUCAGCUUGUUGGUGGGGUAGUGGCUUACCAAGGCUUUGACGGGUAGCCGGCCUGAGAGGGUGACCGGCCACAUUGGGACUGAGAUACGGCCCAGACUCCAACGGGAGGCAGCAGUGGGGAAUAUUGCACAAUGGGAGGAAGCCUGAUGCAGCAAGGCCGCGUGCGGGAUGACGGCCUUCGGGUUGUAAACCGAUUUCGCCUGUGACGAAGAGUGAGUGACGGUAAUGGGUAAAGAAGCACCGGCUAACUACGUG